UUCGCCCUUAGAGUUUGAUCCUGGCUCAGAGCGAACGCUGGCGGCAGGCUUAACACAUACAAGUCGAGCGGGCCCUUCGGGGUCAGCGGCAGACGGGUGAGUAACGCGUGGGAACGUGCCCUUCGGUUCGGAAUAACUCAGGGAAACUUGAGCUAAUACCGGAUACGUGCUUAGGCAGAAAGGUUUACUGCCGAAGGAUCGGCCCGCGUCUGAUUAGCUGGUUGGUGAGGUUAUGGCUCACCAAGGCGACGAUCAGUAGCUGGUCUGAGAGGAUGAUCAGCCACACUAGGACUGAGACACGGCCCAGACUCCUACGGGAGGCAGCAGAAGGG
rnacentral:rRNA from 1 species